rnacentral:rRNA from 1 species
AGUAGCCGCGGUAAUUCCAGCUCCAAUAGCAUAUAUUAAAGUUGCUGCAGUUAAAAAGCUCGUAGUUGAAUUUCGGGACCAUCAUGUUGGUCGUGCCUCGGUACGUACUGGCAUUGUUGGUUUCUCCCUUCUGACGAACCAUGAUGUCAUUUAUUUGGUGUUGUGGGAAAUCAGGACUGUUACUUUGAAAAAAUUAGAGUGUUUAAAGCAGGCUCACGCUUGAAUACAUUAGCAUGGAAUAAUGAAAUAGGACGUUUGACCCUAUUUUGUUGGUUUCUAGGAUCGACGUAAUGAUUAAUAGGGAUAGUUGGGGGCAUUAGUAUUCAAUUGUCAGAGGUGAAAUUCUUGGAUUUAUUGAAGACUAACUACUGCGAAAGCAUUUGCCAAGGAUGUUUUCAUUAAUCAAGAACGAAAGUUAGGGGAUCGAAGACGAUCAGAUACCGUCGUAGUCUUAACCAUAAACUAUGCCGACUAGAAAUCGGGCGAUGUUAUUCUCAUGACUCGCUCGGCACCUUACGAGAAACCAAAGUGUUU